UACGGAGGGAGCUAGCGUUGUUCGGAAUUACUGGGCGUAAAGCGCACGUAGGCGGCUUUGUAAGUUAGAGGUGAAAGCCCGGAGCUCAACUCCGGAAUUGCCUUUAAGACUGCAUCGCUUGAAUCAUGGAGAGGUGAGUGGAAUUCCGAGUGUAGAGGUGAAAUUCGUAGAUAUUCGGAAGAACACCAGUGGCGAAGGCGACUCACUGGACAUGUAUUGACGCUGAGGUGGCGAAAGCGUGGGGAGCAAACAGG
rnacentral:rRNA from 1 species